AACGAACGUUGGCGGCAUGGAUUAGGCAUGCAAGUCGGGCGAAUCCCAGCAAUGGGGGAAGCGGCGUAAGGGGCAGUAAGGCGUAGGUACCUGCCCGGGGGUCCGGGAUAGCCCGUCGAGAGACGGGGUAACACCGGAUGAUCCCGCGAGGGCAAAGUUUACGCCCCCGGAGGGGCCUACGUGGUAUUAGCUAGUUGGUGGGGUAACGGCCCACCAAGGCGGGGAUGCCUAGCGGGUGUGAGAGCACGACCCGCGCCGCUGGCACUGAGACACUGGCCAGACACCUACGGGUGGCUGCAGUCGAGGAUCUUCGGCAAUGGGGGGAACCCUGACCGAGCGAUGCCGCGUGUGCGACGAA
rnacentral:rRNA from 1 species